GACAGGAUAUUUUAUUUUCUACUAUCAGAAAAUGAAUGAAUGCUGGAAGAAUUAUGCCAGUUUGGGCCUAACACUGGAAAAGACAAAGGAAAUUAACAGGAAAUAUUUUGAUAAAGGGCCUGUCUUAUGUCAUAUUUUGGGAAAGGAAUCCAGGAAACAGAUGAUGGACAAUGAGCAUAAUGCAUCUCAGUGAUUCCCAGCUGUUCAGUGUGAUGGGCAAUAAAAAAAACAUUAAAGAAUGUGAUAACUUUAGCCCCAGCUGAAGACAAAGAUUAAGGAAUCUGGUUUUGUGGUCUCACUAUUGUCUUGAAGAUUUACUUGCUCUUGGUGCUGGAGUCAUCCAAGACUGCACUAUCCAUGUACACUCCCUGAGACAUCCAUAUUGCCAUUAGUGGGAUGAAGACAUCCUUGACUGCACCCUUGACUACAUCAGUUGACUGCCAAACAGGUGGCUUGUUUGUCACCUUUUUUCCACAUAGUACUCUGGAACCUUCAUGCCAAUAGCUGAUAAAUACUAUGUGAUAAAUACUAGUUUUGAAUUCAGAAGUACCUUUUUUUUUGUCAGAAAAUUCAUAAACAGUGCUAAACAUUGGUGAAAACAAAAUAUUCCAAGAAAAUUCUAUUUGAAAAGUAUACUGAACAAGUUAUUUGUUCAAUAAUAUGCUUGCGACUUAUUUAACAGUCCUCUAAAGGCAGUAUUACAGAAGUGUUCCAGAAUAUCUGUACUUUCUUUAGAUAACUGUAAACUUUGCUAGGAAAAUUUAUUUAUUUUAUUUAUUUUAUUUUAUUUUAUUUUUAAAUAAACAACUUUGUGUUUGUCUGGUUUUGCUAGCUCAUAAACAUUGCAUUUGGUGGUGGGAUCACAGACUUUGCACAUUACCAUCCAUUAACUACAUGCCAGAACUGAUCCUUACUCUAUUUUAUUUUUUUCAGUAUUUUCUCAAUUUGUACAUUUUAUCAGGAUGUUUUUUGGUCACAGUUGCUAGCAUGUGGUCAUCAG
rnacentral:lncRNA from 1 species